GGAGCUGUGGCACAGCAGGUUAACGCCCUGGCCUGAAAUGCCAGCAUCUCAUAUGGGUGCUGGUUCAAGACCCAGCUGCUCCA
rnacentral:tRNA from 1 species